ensembl:lncRNA
CUUGGAUGUUGUUUAUGUUUCUUGUUUCUGGACUGCUUACCUGGAUUGUGACCUUUGCCUGGCUGAUAAUGAGACUUGGAUUGUCCUAAUAAAACAUACUGCAAUUGGAUCUACCUGUUUGUGUGCGUGUCGUGACAGAAGGACUCCGUCAUGCCUAGAUCCAGCGGUGUGGGAUUUCGAAUCCGUUCCCCAGCCACCAUGGAGGAACGGAGGGGAAGACUCCGGAACUUAACCACCCUUCGUCAAAGGGGGAGUGAGGUGGGUGGCCUGGCGCAAUUGUUUUGGACCAUGGCGGUCGGGUUGGGUUAUAAUGAUGCAGCACUGAAGGACUUUUUUAACAAUUGUCUGGAUGACCCUUUGCCUCAAUGGGAGAUGAAGGGGCUGGAGAUCCUAGACUUUUGGGGGUUUACCCAUUACCUGUGCCAUCGUGCUCAGUGGGAUACAUCAACCACACUUGAGUCUCCAGACAAGAUGGCCGCCAGCCCAGCGCCAGAGCACAAGAUGGCCGCCAGCCCAGCGCCAGAGCACAAGAUGGCCGCCAGCCCAGCGCCAGAGCACAAGAUGGCCGCCAGCCCAGCGCCACAGCACAAGAUGGCCGCCAGCCCUGCGCCACAGCCCAAGAUGGCCGCGGAGACAGUAUUAAGCUACUUUUCCAGGAUGUGCCAGAUCCCAGAGUGUCCCAGGAGUGUUUACAACACGGCCGCUGAGCCAGCGCCAAUGCCCAAGAUGGCCACCAGUUCAGCACCACAGCACAAGAUGGCCGCCAGCCCAGCACCACUGCACAGGAUGGUCGAAUCUACACCUGUGUUGGCAGACAAGAUGGUUGACUCAACGCCUGAGUCUUCCGUCAAGGAGCCACCGGCACGCCAUCAUAGAGGCCGCAGGAGGAGGAGACAGGCGUCAGCCGUUCCUCAAAGCCCGGAGGACGUUCCCGAGCAGGCCGCUGCCGUCCAGGAGGACGUUCCCGAGCAGGCCGCUGUCGUCCAGGUGGACGUGUCCAAGGUUCCCGAAGCGGUGCCUGAUGCCGAAGCGGUGCCCGAUGCUGUGCCCGAUGCCGAGGCGGUGCAUGAUGUUGUUCCGCAGGUCGAGGCGGUGGCCGAUGCCGUUCUGCAGGUCGAGGUGGUGCCCGAUGUUGUUCCAGAGACCGAGGAGGUGCCCGAGUUGGUUCCGGAGGCCGAGGCGGUGGCCGAUGCGCAGGCCGAGGUCGUUCCCGAGGUGGUGCCCGAUGCAGAGGCCGUUCCCGAGGCGGUGUCCUUGUCCGAGGCCGUUCCUGAGGCGGUGCCCGAUGCUGUUCCGGAGGCCGAUGCGGGGCCCGAGAUGGUUCCGGAGGCGAUACCCGUGUCCAAGGCCGUUCCCGAGGCGGUGCCCUUUUCUGAGGCCGUUCCCGAUGCCGUUCCCAAUGCCGUGACCUGGCCAUCGCCACAGCCUGCUCCUUACUGGCUCCCCGAUUGGCAGGUUCCGUUCGGGCCACUUAAAUGGCGAAUUCCUCCCUGGCCGUCGGCACAACGAGAAUGGACUGAUCCACCGUGGCCACCUGAACUGCCUGGCCCCUCGUGGUCCCCUGAACUUUCGGGUCCACCGUGGCCACCUGAACUGCCUGGUCCCUCGUGGUCCCCUGAACUUUCGGGUCCACCAUGGCCCCCUGAUCUGACCAAGCCACCUGGGCUACCAGGGGAGCCAUCGCUGCCGGUCCCAGUUCCCCUACACGGGCCUGGCCCGCCAUCCCUCCCCCUGUUCUGCC